GUCAAAUAUUUGAAACAAAGAUGGACAUGUUUUAAGGCAUUCAGUCGUCUCACAUUGUUCCCACAAACCAUGAAUAAAUUGCGAGUAAUAAAUCAAAUGGUAAACAUAAUCGUCAUAAGUAGGUAUUUGAAAAGAUUCACAUGGUUCACAGAGUUGCAUAAUCAUACCAUGCAUUAAUCGACGGUCUAUAGAUUCACUCACACAUGCAUUAUCAAAAACAAGAAUCUUUUUAUCAACC
rnacentral:lncRNA from 1 species